AAUGUGGGAGGCGAAGAAAAUAAAAGAAACAAAAUAUUUUUUUGUUCUGUUUUUUUACAGGUGAUUCCAUGGCGGUCGCUACUGUCUGUGCAUGAUGGGGUUGAUAGGCAAUAAGUUGGUUCCUGAUUUUUCUAAGUUUGAUCUUGCAAAUCUGCGAUAAACGAUUUCUCUUUAAAGCGGCUCAAGAUAAUGUGGCAACCUGAAGCAUGGCACUUAUAAAGCGCGAGUGAGUCACCGAUUAGCCCUACUUUCUCCUCCCUCAACCAUUAACAUUUUAAUGUGCUUUUACUCCAUGGCCGAAGACCUCUGCUUCCGUGAGGAUUUGUUUUCUGAGUAAGGUUGCUUCUAUGCUGCUUCCUUAGGCAUGUGGAGCAUUGCGAGACAGGUCAAUGAUGGUUUCAUUAUCUUCAGCGAUGCAAAGGUCCUUUUGUUGGGUCCUAUCUUUGAGUCAAAGAAGCAUUUGCUGAUGACCAACUAUCCUCGGUGGAAACAUGGCAAGUGAGAAAGAAGUGCAAGGACUUUUGUUUCCGGUCAAGGCAAAAUGAUUCAAGAGGAUUUCACAUAAAGACAUACAACAAAACACUUCUUGCAGCUGGUUACAAUUACCGAGACACAGUGCCAAGAUAAGUACAAAUUGAGAGAUGUACAAGAAGUCAACAACCAUGCCCACAUGUGUUAGGGAAAGCAAGCUAUAACAUUAUUGAAUAAGAACUCUCAUGCAGACAGAACCGUCCUGUAAGGCAACUCGACAUGUGAUUGUGUCCAAACUUGGGAUGGAACUAUUAGAUAAGUUACUACCACCGCUCUUUCCUUUGUGCUGCCAACACCGCUCAUUUCCUUGACUGGG